GCCCCGCGCGCCGCCAGACCCCGCCCCCCUCCGCCCGGGAAGAUGGCGGCGCCCUUAGCGCAGCAGCUGGAGGAGCUGCUCAACCCCCGGCCCGACCUGCGAGACCCCGAGGACGACGCGGAGGAAGCCACAGUUGCUAAAGUGAUUGACAGGUUUGAGGAUGAGACUGCAGAUGACAUUUUACCUGUUGGUAAUAUACGGAAAAAAGCUUCGGCCUCCCUCUUAGAAGCUGAUAAAAGGUACAGUGGAAAAGCAACAUCUCGCAAAGCCUUGCAGGAAGAGCUGUGGGGAGAUGCUCUGUCUGAAGAAGGAUCUGCUGAAGGAGCCUCAGAUGAGUGGUAUAGUGGCAGUGAAGAUUCAGAAGACGAUGGCAGCUUGGGCAGUAAAACAGAGCAGCAGGCCAGCAGUGCUGGCAGUGACCAAGAGGAUAAUAUGGAAGAUGAUGAAGAGAGAGAUUCCACUGCCAAAGUACCAAAGUUCAGUUUCCAGAACAUCACGGACUUUGAGACAUUUGCAGAGGGGAUGGAUGAUGUUGGGAGCAGUGAUGGAGAAGAUGAAGAUGACGCCAGCAUGGAAGAAGAGGAAGGAAGUGAUGAUGAGAAAUAUGAGGGGGAAGACCAUGACCACAUAAAAGAAACCAGUGACAACGAGGAUGAUGGGGGGGUGAUGACAUUCUCAAAGGGACAAGCAAGUGAUGAGGUGGAAAAAGGAAAAGCGGUGAAGAAUCAGCUAGCACUGUGGGAUCAGAUCUUGGAAGGCAGAAUCAAGAUGCAGAAGGCACUUGUAAUAGCCAACCAGCUUCCUCAGCCCGAUACUUUCCCCCUUUUCAGAAAGGAAGGUGGACAGGAAUUCGACAAUGCUGUGGAGAGCUGUUGUAAAGCCAUAGACACAUUGCUGAGAGUGCUGGUGGACAUUCAGGAUGAGUUGCUUUAUCAAUGCCCGGGCACAAGGCACCUGGUAGAUGGAAAACAAUCAAAACCUGAGAGCGAUGAUGAAAUUCCCAGCAGCAGCGAUGAAGAGCGAGCGGGUGAAGCUCAGGAGAAGAGGAAGCGCCCUCCCAAACGAAAGCUGAAGGCUGAGGACUUCCCAGAGUUCAUAGCCAAGAGGUAUGACGACUACAGGACGUACCGGAACAACACCCUGCAGAAAUGGCAUGAGAAGACAAAGCUGGCAUCUGGCAAAAUGGGCAAGGGUUUCGGUGCCUUUGAGCGUUCAAUCUUGACUCAGAUUGAUCAUAUUUUGAUGGACAAAGAGAGAUUACUACGGCGGACACAGACCAAGCGAUCAGUGUACAGAGUGCUGGGGAAGAAGGAGCAGGAUUCCCAUCCAGCCCCUGAAUAUUUGCCUGAAAAUUCGGAAGUCCUCCCUGAGGCAGAUUCCAACAUGCACCUGAAGGACAUAGACGAGGAAAUAUUUGAUGAUGAUGACUUUUAUCACCAGCUCCUUCGAGAACUGAUAGAGCGUAAAACCACCUCAUUGGACCCCAACGAUCAAGUCGCCAUGGGCAGACAAUGGCUGGCCAUCCAGAAGCUACGGAGCAAAAUAAAGAAGAAAGUGGACAGAAAAGCCAGUAAAGGAAGGAAAAUCCGGUAUCAUGUCCAUAGCAAGCUGGUGAGCUUCAUGGCACCUAUUGACCACUGUACGAUGAAUGAUGAUGCCAGGACGGAGCUUUAUCGUUCGCUCUUUGGAAGAAUGAUGCGGCCUGAAGACCCUGAACGUGGUUAGGAUCCGGGACCGCCCGCACUGCAGGCGUGCCAUUCUGUUCGUUGGCUGCGGGUCUGGAUGGGGCGACUUGAUUUCCACUGAGUCAAGAGGAUUUAAAUGUCAUUUACAUAAUUAACGUGGCCUUAAAAUGGAGAAAAGGUGCAGUGCCUUCCAGCAGCCCCAGCUCCCAGGUCACAUUCCAGUUUCAGAUCAGCCUCUGUGCAGCCAUGGACAUCACCCAGCUCGUGGUAGGCACGGUGUGGGCACACAUCUGGGGCUACUUCUGCAAUUAGAACACAUUGGUGAAUUUUUCAGUCCAGCAUUGAUUGUGUACACUUAAUUAUUUCCGCUGAUUGUGACUGUGAGCCCUCUUGUCUUCGCUGUCACCAUGCUUCUGAAAGAUGGCAGCGCUAAUGCAGAGCUGCCAGAAGGCAUCACACGGGGUUUGUGGGGUUUCUGUAGCCAAAGGCCACAGUUUGGAAAUGAAACCCCCAUAAAGGGAAUCUAUUAGCCUGCUGCGAUCAAUCUGAAACCGAGGUUAUCUCGCGUAAAUAAUACGGCAUAUAUGUGUGUAAUGAGAAUGGCCAUUGCUUGUGACCACAGGAACUGCGCGGUCUUUGUUUUGUGGGAUUUAAUUAAAACACUUUGUAAACGGAUUGUCCAAGUUUGAUCGGUGCAGAAAUGGCACCAGCAGCUCUGGCCUCUCUUGGGCCCAUCAACAGACAGUUCUUAACCAGAGGCUGUGGUGUCACUUUGCACAGAGCUGCCUGAGCACCAGCAGAGUGUGCACAGAGCAGCUGCAGCUUUGCAGCAGAGCCUUGGCUGGUGCCUGUCAUGAUGGUGGUGUGGGACACAGCUGUGCAGAGCAGUCACAGGACCUGGGCUGUACAGCAGGAGGUCAUUCCCUGCACUCUUCAGAUUUGGAGUAAGUUUGUAGCUUCACUACAUCUAAAUAUGUGGGCUGACUGUAGGUGUGAGGCAUAACCAGAUUACAACUAGUUACAAGCAUGCAGGUACUGCUGCAAUUAAAUCAGAUGAUUGUUUUGUCCAUUUAAUCUCUGGAUUUCCCUUCCUCACGCAGCAGAGUUGAUGUGGUUCCACAAAAGCACUGCCAGCACUGUGGGUUCCUGGGGGGCUGCGCAGCCCUGCAGGCAGGACGUGGUGCUCAGCCCUCCAGGGAACGAUGGGUUUUUGUCUCAGCAAUGGGAUGGGUGCUGGAGCAGCACUGCUGUUCACAGGGCCUGGGUGAGAGCUGCUGCACAGCCUGAUGGCUCAGCACAGGGCAGCAGCAGUGAGACUCUGUAGCUCCGUCGUGUCCCCAGAGCUGUCUGCAGAUCUGGUAUUAAUUAAUCCUUUUUGCGCCUCUUCAUUACAGCUUUACGUCUCCUUUCUAGUUACCUGCUUCCAGUAAAUAGCUUCCUGGCACGUCACGCCGUGUAUCGAGCAGUCUGCCACAGCACAGGAGAACGUGCUGAGCUGCAGAGAGCCGGGGGUGUGUGAGGCACCUGGGCUGGAAGGUGGACAGGAGGAUGUGGGUGCUGCUCUGCCUCGUCCCACUGCCGGCAGCUUGCGAGCAGUCCUACCAGGUACAGAGAACCUCCUCUGGGAGUGGAGGACUUAAUUUACUCAAGGUUCUGUGACGUUUGUGGUGUUGUUUUUUUAAGGUGGGAAAGGAAAACUGUAAUUGUCUGGUUAAGCCCAGCUCAGGUGUGCUGCUGCUCCUUUAGGUAGUGUGCCUGGGAGCUGUGCUUCAGGGAACUGUGGGCCUGUGUCUCAUGCUGGCUGCACUCUGUGGGGCUGCAUCUCAGCUGCUUGUCAGUGGGCAGAGCAGGGCCUUCUCUGUCUCACAGCUCUCUGGUCAGGCUCUGCCCCUUUGUCCCCAUAGGCUGCCUUCCACAGCCCUUUCCAUUCUGGGGCGCUGCUGACGUGCUGCUCCUUCCCUGAGCUGCUCCUUCCCUGGGUGAGACCAUUAAGCCAAGAGCCAUGCCCAGCAUCACACUGCUGCAGGGUCCGAGGGCCACAGCUGUGGGCCUCCCCACAUCCUCUGGGUGCAAAUCUGGAAGCGUCCCCGUAAGCUGCAGUGUGUUGGUUCCCAGCAAUGGCAAAGCAGCACCGCUGCAGCCCCACCAAUGGCACCCCCACGUGGUUCCCCUGCCUUUCGUGGUACCUGCACUUUUUUCCUGAGCGGCAGCAGAGCUGUGUGGUCGUCUAACAUCAUUAAAAUCUCAUGGUUUAAUAACCGCAAUUCUGAAAGGCAUCAAGGGGAGUAAAUUAGCUGCUUCCAAACUUUGUGUUGGUGGAAUGGUUUCACGCUGCUGGCGCUGUCAGGGCAGGCAUUACGGAUGGCUGGCAGGGAGCACCGUGCCCCUGCCCUGUUGGGGUUUGCUGUGCUGGCAGGAGGGCAGGCUGCUCUGCAGGGCUGCUGCUCUGACUCCUGUGUCCUUUAACGUGGCAGCACCAAGAUUCUGGGUAUUAUUUUUUUUACAUUUUGAGAGCUGGAUGUAGCGUUAAAAGGGUAAUGUGGAACACUUUAAAUGUGAUAACUUCUCGUUCGUAUUGUUUGAAGAGAUAAGAACCAAAGCCCUGCUAAGCAUGCUUUUGAAUUCACUUAUCAGUGUUUAAGCAGGCUUCUCUGCCCGCUGCCCCCACCACCUGCACGGCCCUGCAGCUCCAGCCUGCUGCCCUUCAUGGGGAGGUCAGCACUCCUUCCUGGCACAGGCAGCUGUGCUGCCCGAGUCCCCAUGCCCUGGUGGCAGUGGUCACCGUGCAGCCAGGUGUGGGCAGCAGCUGUGUGCACGGGUCAGGGAGGGCGCAGGGAUCUGGUAUGAUUGCCACUAAGUUUUCCUAAUGAUGCCAAUUAACGGCCAGUGAGAUUUAUUUUAUUUUCCCAGUGGAAUAUCCAUUCUUUAUUCAUUCAUGAUACAGCUGCUAAUGAGUGCCUGCACACCCAGCCCAGUACCUCUGUGCAGCAUCGCACAGCAGCCAGGUGUGCUGUGUGCUGGGAACGGGCUGUGAGUGGUGGGGUGGCGCAGAGGGCUUCUCUUAAUCCUCUCCCCCUCCCCAGCCCCACAAUAGCAAAGAAUUUCAACUUUCAGACAAACAACUUCAUUUACAAGUGUGUCUCUAAUUAGCUGCAGAAUUAGUAAAGCAGAGUUUUCCCCCCAUAGAUCGGCCAAACCCCUGAGGGAGGCUGUGGAAUAGAGAGAAUCGCAUUUCCAAUUAUUUUGUUGAAUUGCUAAUUUAGUUAUUGUGCCUGGCGUAAUUGUGAUGGGUAUUGGGUGUGCAAUUCAAUUUGUUUUAAAUAUUUGUGGGAAGGCUGAUCAGUAAUGGAGCUGACCUAUUUCAUGGCCCAAAUUGAGAGAAGAGACUAAAACAAAAAACAGCUACAAAGCCACAGUUUGUCUCAGUUUUUAUUUUGAUGUCUCUCAUCCCUCUUAAGACUGUUGAUGCAACAAAAGGUUUACAUUAAAAGAUGAUGGCACUUUGAUCUCGGGCUUUUGAGAGCUUACAGCUUUGGUACUUCUUUUCUUGGCAUUUUAAUAUGUAGAUAUUUUAGGCUAAAGAGUUUUAAAUGCAUUUCUGGAGUUCAAUAGCCCCCUCUGUCCCCCCCCAGUUGUAUUAUGUUUGUUAAGGUGAUUUGUGCUUUUACCCAUCACGAUUCUGGUUUGAGAAAUGCACAAAAUAAUGGUGGGGGUUUUCCUGGCUCACGUUGUCCAGUUUAACACAUCACACCUUCAUGUUAACCUUUAACAGGGGGAACCUGGAAGCAGUGGUGGUAGGAGGUGAGCAGGGAGGGCGUACAGCAGAGCUACUUGCAGGUAGCAAGUAGGGCUACACAAUAUGAACACAGGGCUGCUGUGCCACCUCCCUGGGGGGCAGCAGGGUUAAUAGGGGGCUGUGCCAGCACCUGCAGAGCUGCAGUCACUCAGUGUUGAAGAAGAAAUCUGGGGAUGGGGGCACCUGAGUGAGGCUCAGUGGGUGCAGCUGUGGUGCUCAGAACGGGGGGUGACAGACUUACACUCCUGGCAACAGAAAGAGAUGUAAUUCGUUCUUUUUAUUAAAAGAAACUGAGGUAAGUGAAAUACUUCAGCACCAGCAAGAACUGCGCGUACUGAGGGGGGCUCCCGCAGUGCCAGACCCCCCACCCCGACCCACACACACACGGACAGGGCAGGGCACUGCCAGCACUGUGCUGGGCUCCAGCAUUCACCAACAGCUGCUUUACCCCCAAAUUAAGUGGUACCUGAGCCCCUAACACUGAGCUGGAGGGGGCUGCUCUCACCCAGCAGGCAGAGGAGUUUGGCAGCUGCAGCUCCCCCCAGGCACAAGGCGUAGUGUGGUGGGCACCAGGACCUCUCCCAUUAACACCUGCAGAAAGGGUGGUAACAGACCCAUGUGUGACACCACUGUGUAGGAAUUCCUGGUGAGGUGCCCUGAGCAGUCCUGCCUGGCUGAGACAUUCUCUGUCUGUCCUUGUGUCCGGCUGCAGCCUGGAUUGGCAUAAGUAAAAGCAUCUCUGGGGAUUGUUUGGAAGGAGUGAAGGGCAAAGAAGAGUCUUUUAAGUUAAAGUUAGGGUGCUGAACUAUUAGGAUGAGGUUUGUCUUUUAGGUGGCAGCUCCUGGUCCUCCCAGACAGCAGAGAGUAACCCCAGCACUGCACCUCAAUCUUACAGCACUCCGGCUGCUGUGCACAGAAGGGGGUGAGCAGCAGUUCAGAGGGAAAGAGCACAGGGGGGAGUACAGGAAAUCGAUGCUCUUACGUUGAAGAAGGCGAGUCCAUUGUGGAGAGGAUCCGCACGAUCUCCGCUCGCUGGGUG